rnacentral:tRNA from 1 species
GAGGGUAUAGCUGAGUGGGAGAGUGCAUGGUUCACAGCAUUGAGGUCCUGGGUUCAAUCCCCAGCACCUCCA